rnacentral:lncRNA from 1 species
CCAGGAAUUUAUUGGGGUGACAGCGGGUGACAUUCCUGUCACCGUGCCAGGUCUGGGUGACAUCAGGCCACUGUGCCAGGUCUGGGUGACAUCCGGUGACAGCGGGUGACAGCGGGUGACAUCAGGUGACAGCCGUGUCACCGUGCCAGGUCUGGGUGACAUCCGGUGACAGCGGGUGACAUCAGGUGACAGCCGUGUCACCGUGCCAGGUCUGGGUGACACCUCCAGGUGACACCCAGGUGACAUCGGUGUCCCUGUCCCAGCUCUGGGUGACACCUCCAGGUGACAGCCGUGUCACUGUGCCAUCUCCAUGUCCUCGUGUCACACGCGUGUCACCGUGCCAGCUCCGUGUCACACCUCCA